rnacentral:rRNA from 1 species
GACUGAGACACGGUCCAGACUCCUACGGGAGGCAGCAGUGGGGAAUCUUGCACAAUGGGCGAAAGCCUGAUGCAGCGACGCCGCGUGGGGGAUGAAGCUUUUCGGAGUGUAAACCCCUUUCGACCGGGAAGAAUGCCUCGCAAGAGGAGUGACGGUACCGGUAUAAGAAGCCCCGGCUAACUACGUGCCAGCAGCCGCGGUAAGACGUAGGGGGCCAGCGUUGUUCGGAAUUACUGGGUGUAAAGGGUUCGUAGGCGGUGCGGCAAGUUGGGAGUGAAAUCUCUGGGCUUAACCCAGAGGCUGCUUUCAAAACUGCCGCGCUCGAGUGCGAGAGAGGUCAGUGGAAUUGCAGGUGUAGCGGUGAAAUGCGUAGAUAUCUGCAGGAACACCCGUGGCGAAGGCGGCUGACUGGAUCGCAACUGACACUGAGGAACGAAAGCUAGGGGAGCAAACAGGAUUAGAUACCCUGGUAGUCCACGCCGUAAACGAUGAGUGCUAGACGUCGGGGAGCUUGCUCUUCGGUGUCGCCGCUAACGC